rnacentral:rRNA from 1 species
CAGUAGCCGCGGUAAUACGGAGGGAGCUAGCGUUGUUCGGAAUUACUGGGCGUAAAGCGCGCGUAGGCGGUUACUCAAGUCAGAGGUGAAAGCCCGGGGCUCAACCCCGGAACUGCCUUUGAAACUAGGUGACUAGAAUCUUGGAGAGGUCAGUGGAAUUCCGAGUGUAGAGGUGAAAUUCGUAGAUAUUCGGAAGAACACCAGUGGCGAAGGCGACUGACUGGACAAGUAUUGACGCUGAGGUGCGAAAGCGUGGGGAGCAAACAGGAUUAGAGACCCGCGUAGUCCCUGUCUCUUAUAC